UCCCAUCCUGCUCUCGACUAUUGAAGGUAACAAGCAAGGAAGGAGCACAGUAUCUCUGCAGAAUGGAAAGGGAGAGGGGAGGGGAGGUUGCAGCCUCCUGGAGCCCCCCGUGGCACCGGUCCCCCUCUGCAGCAUCGCAUGCUUGAGAGCUUCUACUCUUUGCCAGGGGGCGCGAAUCCAGGGGCUUGACAACAUGGAGGUUGAUGGGACCCAGGGUAGGGUUUGCCCAUGAAGGGCUCCACCAGAUUAACCACUCUCCUGCAGUUCUCUGAACUCUUGGGAGGUUUCUGUUGCCAGAGGAAACCUCUGUGCACGUUGCCUUUCUACGAAGCCCAGUCCUGUACUGUGCUGUGCCGAGCACAUCCGUGAGGUGCUGAGCACCCUCCAUGCCCCUUAUGGCCACUUCUGCAGGGACUGGUCAUGCACAACGUUCAGACAUGCCAGCAGGGUAUAUACUAGAGCGCAGGGCCUGUGACCUUGGGAUCCCAGGAGGUGACUGGGUGCGGAUGCAGGAGUUGCUAAAGACUUGAUGCCCAGGGAGGCAACUAAGACUCUUCUUCAGUGCCUAUGGCAGUGACACCCUUCUUGUUUGCCUCCCAGCUUCAGGAAAUCCUGAGACCUCCCAGGACAAUGUGUGGUGGGAGCACCUGCUGCUGAAGUUCCUGAACAUGACACUGAAGAGCAUUGCUGACGAUGCCUGGAGCAGUCAGCUGAGCCUGGAGCUGCAGCACCAGACAGCCAGUUAUGCCUGCUCCUCCCCGGAGAAGAGUUUCCUAUAUAAGGCACUUGGUACCACUUUGGCCUCUUGCCAGGAUGUUGCCCAUGUGAAAUCCCAGCUCCAGAAAUCUCUGAAGGGCACAGAUUACAUGAACGCUUCUGAGAGAGAGGUGAGGACCCUGUUCUCUCCAGACAUAUCAGGUCCUCCCGUGUCCUCACUUCUCUGUUGCUUUGUGUCUCGGGUUUGUUUGCUUCCUGGCCUUCCCUUGUCCUUUCCCUCAGACAGCCCCCUGACUUGUUGCGGGUCGGACGGGCAGUUCUAGUAUCAGGGAGAUGGGGAGGACUCUGGGGUCUGUCAGCCAGACAGCCCUGCUCACUCCCCAGUGCGUUUCUUGGCUUCCAGCACGUUGUGACCAUCCUGGCAUUCUCAGCUGAGGGCCACGUGGACCUCACCCUGGGCACGCUGGAGGACUUUGGUGCGGCUCUGAGUAAAGUGCAGGUGUCAGGGAUAGUCAGCUGCCUGCAGGUAAUGGAGCUGGGGGGUUUCUCGCACUUCCUUCCCCUAGAAACCCUUGAGAAGAGCAGCUUGGCGGUGGCUCCUCUCCCUGGUAAUGCCCUCUCCCAGGGAACAUGCUCCACAUCAGGUCUCCAGUGAUACAGAGGGGAACACAGUUUCUACUACUCAGGUUUUUCAUGUCCCAGGUUAAUGGGUCAACAAUUAACCAGCCCCUUUCAGGCACUGAGGCAACUACAUCUGAUGUUCACCCAGAGAAAGAGAUUGUGUCUUUCUCACAUCUUUCAGUUAGCCAUGGGAGAGGAGACAUGAGCCCUGUUGCCCAGCCUCAAAGUACCAGCUCCGAGUGCAUAAUCCACAUGCCCCAAAUGCUGUAA